rnacentral:rRNA from 1 species
CGGAGGGGCUAGCGUUGUUCGGAAUUACUGGGGCGUAAAGCGUACGUAGGCGGCUUUGUAAGUCAGAGGUGAAAGCCCACGACUCAAUCGUGGAACUGCCUUUGAGACUGCUUCGCUUGAAGAUGGGAGAGGUUAGUGGAAUUCCGAGUGUAGAGGUGAAAUUCGUAGAUAUUCGGAAGAACACCAGUGGCGAAGGCGGCUAACUGGACCAUUCUUGACGCUGAGGUACGAAAGCGUGGGGAGCAAACAGGAUU